rnacentral:rRNA from 1 species
GAGCACGUAGGUGGGUUUGUAAGUCAGAUGUGAAAGCCUUCUGUUCAACGGAAGAAUUGCAUCUGAAACUGCGAGUCUUGAGUGUAGGAGGGGAGAAUGGAACUUCUGGUGGAGCGGUGAAAUGCGUAGAUAUCAGAAGGAACGCCGGCGGCGAAAGCGAUUCUCUGGCCUAUUACUGACACGCAGUGUGCGAGAGCUAGGGGAGCAAACGGGAUUAGAUACCCCGGUAGUCCUAGCCGUAAACGAUGGGCACUAAGUAGAGGGGUUUU